AUCAAUCAAUCUUACUUAAAUGAAUAAGAGGAAAGUGAGUGGUGUGUUGUGAGCAGCUUGGAGAAGAAGUGACCUCUACAUUUAAACAUUGAUCGCCUUCAGUCGCCAUGAUCGGAAUUCCUUCCAUGUUUACGUCCAGUCGUGUCCUGAACCAGGGCCGCUAAGUGCUGGGUGCCAGUGACAAGGGUGGCUGUUGUUAGGGGGAACUAGGCCAUUCAUGGAUAAGGUGACGUGAAGCGAAGGGUUUGUUGGGUGGUCAGCAGUCGGGUUUUCAGAAAUAUCGAGGCACAAUGAACCACCUAACAUUGCAUUCAUGAUAGGGGUGUUCCUGGACAUCCAAGAAGUCUUUGACAUGACAUGAUGACAUGUUAUCCUCAUGAAACUCUACGCUCACAGUUUCAGAGGUAACUUGCCCAUUUUUUUGAUAAUUUCCUUCAGGACAGAACAUUCUCUGUCAAGCUUCUUGGUAAUGUUAUCUCGGACAUUUUCAUCCAGGAAAACAGGGUGCCACAGUGGGCAACCUCACAACAGCAGCAGACCAGCGGUACAAUAUGGGGCAUGCACAGACAAGGGUCAUUGUGGAGCAGGUACUGCCUUUUCACCCCAGCAUCCAUGUGUCAACCCUGAACCUGCAGUACAGCAAAUAGCUCAGCAUGUUUCAGCCAGAGUUGCUCAGCAGGAAAUCAUCCAAAACUUCUACCAACAAUAAAAGGAGAAAGACAGAUUGCUGAUGAGACUCUAACACCUCCUAUUGUGCCUGCCACCACCUCUCAUUGUGCCUGCCACCAUCUCUUGUUGUGCCUGCCACCAGCUCCUGUUGUGCCUACCACCACCUCCUGUUGUGUCUGCACUAGCCCACACAGGUCUCACAACUUCAGAUUUACUAUAAAUUGCUCAAGUUCUGCCUGCAAUAAAUUUAAGAUGAAAA